GACGAACGCUGGCGGCGUGCCUAAUACAUGCAAGUAGAACGCUGAAGGAGGAGCUUGCUUCUCUGGAUGAGUUGCGAACGGGUGAGUAACGCGUAGGUAACCUGCCUGGUAGCGGGGGAUAACUAUUGGAAACGAUAGCUAAUACCGCAUAAUAGCAGUUAUUGCAUGAUAACUGUUUGAAAGGUGCAAUUGCACCACUACCAGAUGGACCUGCGUUGUAUUAGCUAGUUGGUGGGGUAACGGCUCACCAAGGCGACGAUACAUAGCCGACCUGAGAGGGUGAUCAGCCACACUGGGACUGAGACACGGCCCAGACUCCUACGGGAGGCAGCAGUAGGGAAUCGUCGGCAAUGGACGGAAGUCUGACCGAGCAACGCCGCGUGAGUGAAGAAGGUUUUCGGAUCGUAAAGCUCUGUUGUAAGAGAAGAACGAGUGUGAGAGUGGAAAGUUCACACUGUGACGGUAUCUUACCAGAAAGGGACGGCUAACUACGUG
rnacentral:rRNA from 1 species